AUGGCAUUCAUGGGACCCAAGCGACAGCUUCUCCUCGACUAUUGUGGCGAGCGCAGACGUGUUGGACACCACCUCGUCGAUGUCCUUGCAGCCCGCUUCUUUCUCUGUAGUCAGGACGCGGUGACACGCGCUUUGACAUCGGAUGACGCGCUCACAGGCACGGGAGGGGCGGUACAACAUGGCACCAUCAAUGGCAGCCAUGAUGCCCGUGCCACUGUGGUCCCUCUCAGUGUCGACCUGGAGCAACUCGCCACUCCUCGGCUCGUGACCGGCGGGGUUGACGGGCCACCUAGCUAUUGUUUAUGCGAGACAACUCUUUUUCCUGCUCAUCAGAUGCCAUGGAGAAAACUGUUCAAGGAGAAAAAUGGUGAGUGGAGGUGUGAUGCAGUUCUUGCUCGACAUCUGACAUCUAUCUAUUAUAUAAUUAAAACGAUAGAAAACGAACGGUUAAGAUUAAUUGUUCUAAAGUUAAGAAAAAACAACGGUGGAGAUUUACAGCAUAUAUGUUUUUUUUGA
rnacentral:rRNA from 1 species